AAUCAAAGAAGGAGACGGAGACCCAACAGGCUCGGGAAUAGUCCCGGAAGGGCUAACUGGAAGAGGAGGCGAGGCGGCACCCGAGGAAAGAACCUCAGAAGACAACGGAGCCGGAACAGCCCGAGGAGCAGACAACGAAGACGACGCCACUAAGGAAGCCAGCACUCGAUCGAACUUGGAGGAAGGGCGAAAAGGAAGGGGCGAGAGGGCUUCUUCUUUUUCUUCGACAUCGAGAAAUUCUCGUUUGCCGGCGUGAGGCCGGCCAAUGGCGGCGAUUGGGUUAGGGAUUGCAAUCGCCAGAAAAGUUGCCUUUAAUAGAGAGAAAAUCGAGUCCUUUCACGGUUAAAAGUUAAUAUAGUGAUCAUUUUGACCGUAUAUUUGAGAACGUAUUAUCAUAAACCAAAGCAACACGCUCUUUAGUUUGAACAAAAAAAUUUGUGUUGGCUAUGUCAUCUUCUUCUUCAAAUUUACUAGACGAAGCUCAUCUCUACUGAAUGAAUCCUCUUUUUCCUUCGCUAUAA